rnacentral:lncRNA from 1 species
UUAUUUAUUAAUUAAAUUUAAUAAAUGAACAAAAAUAAAAUAUAUUUAUAAAUAAUUUGUCAAAAACUCUAUUUUCAUUUACAUCCUCACUAAUGACAGUACAUGAUAAUUAAAAAAAUCAUUCAUUUGAGUUUCAUAUAUGAUUGACGUGAGAUUUAAGUUUAGAGUACUAAUUAAUUUUCUACUAAUGCUUGUUAUGUCAUAAUUCAACUACUCUCAAGAAAUCUUUAGUAUUAGACAUCCUAGAAGUAAGGCAUUAAUUAAAUAUUUACUUUUCGUUAUUUACGUGAAUUAGAUAUGUUUCUUCUGAACUAAUUUUGAAGAAUGUUGAUAAAACUAGUUGUAAUUUUUAAUAUCGAUGACAUCUAGGGGGGGAGGGGGUACUUAAUUGAGUAUGGUUUGCUUCUAAAAUAAAAAUAAAAGUCCUUGUUUCUAUCUUUUGGUUAACUCGAAACAUACCGCGAUAAUCCACAAACAUGUAUCCUUUACGUUGACUUUACAACACGUUAGUUUAUCUCUAUCUCCUUUGUUUGGGAGCCAAUUAAAUGUUGAUAAUGAAUUUGAAAACCACAAGCAAUUGAAUUUGAACCUGUCUAGAUAGAAUAAAGGAGAUUACUAAUGCAAUCCUCUUUGUCAAUAAUAUUUUGUGAUUGGCUUUUACGGAAAGACAGCAAUGUGUUGAAAGAACUUAAACAAACUCCUUAAUUUUUCAACCUAUUCACAUGAGAUAAGCUUUAUAGAAAACGAAAGAAGCCCACGAGGAAAUUGCAAAAUCGGUUCUUGUUGGGUGAAACAUGCGUAACAUGCUUGGCCAAAACCAUAUUCAAAUCCUGAUAUCAUUCAAUCAAGAAGAUUUCAUUGACCAGCAGGUGAAUAUACAACGUUUUCCUGCUACGAGAUAACAAAUUUCGUGACAAUAUCAAAUCUCCUACAUGUUCAUGAUUUAAGCCUCACAAAGAAAAAAAAAUCAACACUCGUACGUUCUAUUUCAUAAAUAGAAUGGUUGAUUAAAACUUAAUCUUUACGACUUCAAAUACUGAAAAAAACAAACAACUGCUUCCUAAAAGGAAAUAAUGAUUUCUUCAAACGAACAGGGGAAAGGCGGUGCACCGAAUUAAAUUGCUGCAGAAAUAGGCUGGAAUUAUCGUUUUUUUUUUUUGAAUCAUUUUCCAGGACAGAAAGGUACCAAAUUUUACUGCCAGAUGUUUCAUAGAGUUGAAAGACUUCUAUUAGACUCACGAAGAGGUGGGAUUCUUCCAUACAUGGCAUCCAGACCCACAAGAAACAUGAAAUUGAUUUUCAAUUGUUAGGAAAAUAGCUAGCAAAACAGACCAUACCUUGAAAAAAAAAAAAGUUGAUUUUGAUAACUAUACGGAAACGAGAGAGGGGAGACAUUUUCUUGCUUCUCUUUCCACACCAAACCCCACACUUUCUUUCCAGCAGAGGACUCCUACUUUUGCAAAAUUCAGUGUCAACUCAAUCCUCGAAUCAUUUCACACUAGCUAGCAAUUGAUCAUACCUUUGCCAUAACCUCUACAAUUUCGAAAUUUAAAACCCUUUAUUUAUUUAUUUUUUGUUGUUGUCAAUUGUCAUUGCAAUUUUAGUACUAUACAAUAAACAUCGAUCAUUAAUUCAGUCGCUAGAACAUCUCUGUCAAACCUUGAAGAAAAUUCAACUGUAUUAAUAAUCAAUCGUCAGGAAGUUUCAUGUCGUUAUUGCUUUUGCCAAGAAAACAAUGCAGUUUCAUCGAUAUUUGGGCAUUAACCAUUUUCAUGAUUCUCAUUAUUCAUUAACCAAAAUGUUGCAUUUUGAAAGAAUGGAAUUACUAUAUAAUUACUUCUCAAUCCUCAUUUUAUUUAUUUAUUUAUUUAUUUUUACAUAAAAGAAGUUCACAAAAUUGAAUUCGAUUUAUAUAAUUAUUUAAAAAUCAACAUUUUAAUAUAUUAACAUUUGAUAUAUUUAGCAUUUAAAAAUUGGAACUACUUCCAAUUUUUUUCCCUUGUUUAGUAUAAUAAAAAAAGUCAUAGAUUGCAACAACAUAACACACUUGCAUUUGUAUAUACAUCGUUGAGUUGACUACGUAAAAAUAAAUAAAUAAAUAUUUGCAUCCAAAUAUCAUUUUUCAUGACUAAAUACAAAAAUAAUUUUAAUUACCCUAAACGGUAAAGCAGACGUAAACUAGGGUUCAUCAUAGACGUCAUGACAAGUGACAGCUCAAAAGGCAAAUAAUGCUUUAUUUUCUGUCGUCUAUCAUGAAAUGAAAUUUUACAGCAUGUCAACGAUGUUGAGAGUUGAAUAUAGCUUUCAUUUUAGAAUGUUAGAUGAAUUUUAUGUUAGGUUUUCUGUUUGAAUUUUUAAUAUAAUUUUUUUUUAAAUUUUGAAUAAAUAUUUUAUAUUUGAUUUAUUGAUUUAAAAUGCCAUCUUAUUGUUAAUAUCGACAGAAAAUUAAAGAGAGACGAUAUUUGAUAUGUUUAAAGUUUAAAUUUUAGUAUUUAUAUAUUUUUUAAUUUUUAAAUUAUGAUUUUUUUAUUAAAACAAUCAAUAAAAAAAGAUGCAUGUUAAUCUUCUAUUAACUUAUAUUAGAUCUUUUUCUUUUUUUUUGUAUUAUUUGAGUAAUUAAUAUAUAUAUAUAUAUAAAUCAACUACUGUAAUAAUCAUAAUUUGAUUUUAUUUUUGAAAAUUUUAAAGUUUACAAAUAAAAUUGAUAAACACACGAUCUAGUAUCAUAAUGAUUUCAAAUUAAAUUUAGUUAAAUCAAGUCCACAUAAAAGUUUUACAAAUGAAUUACUUAAAUAAGAAUAAUAAAAAGAUAAAUAAAUUAUAAAAAAAAUAAAUUAACACAUCAAGUGAACAAUAAAAUAUAAUGUAUAAACUUAUAUUUCAAAUCCUAAAAUAAAAUUCACCUAAUCGAUUCAAACAAAUUAAAUUAACACACACAAAAUAAAUAAAUGUUUUAUUUAUUUAUUUUAAUGAUUUUAUCAAUGAAUUUUUUUCCUUUUUUGAACCAUUUUUUUUAAAAACAAAAGUGUAGAUUUAGUUUACAAUCUAAUCGAUCUAAAAAAACCAAACAUCAUUAUACAAAAGAGAUUUAAUUUCGUCGCCAGAUUCCCUGACUUCAUCAAAUGUCUGGGUUCAUUGUUUAGCAUAAAAUGUCAUCCAAUCGACACAAAUUGACUUUUCAAUGAAUACGAUGUAAAUCUAAUUUUUUUUAAUAAUACAAUUCUUGUAAAUUUGAAUUAAAAUUAAAAUGAAGAUAGAAAGCAGGAGAACCUCUUGAUCGAACCAUCAUUUUCAAUCAAAGCCCACCAACCAGAGCAUACGUGGAUCUGUAUCACAUAUAUAUAAUUAUAUGAUAUGAUUUGUCAAUUUGGCAGAUGGAUACAUAAGCCUAAAUUGCACGUCAAGUAACGUCACCUUUGCAUUGUAAAAGAUCUUUUUUUUUUUUCCUUCUAUUUUCUAACUUUUUUAUAUACGAAAAUGGGAUAAUAAGUUUUGAAAUUAUUUAGUGUUUUAGCUACUUUCAGUUUCAUUAAUUACCAGCAAAUUUACUAGUAUUUUAGUUUUUUUUUUUUAAUUUUGUUUUAAUUUUCAAAGCCGUACCAAGCUGAAUCUACUAAACUAUCUAAAUUAAAUGAAUUUAAUUUAAUAUGAGUAUUAAAGUAGUGAUAGAAUAAAAUUGAAUUUCUAUCUUUCUAGAUAGUUAUUGUUCCAAAAUUAAUUAUCACCUACUUAUCCAAAAAAAUCAAUUACCACCUAAUUGGGAAGAUUUAGAUGAAGUUAAGUAUGUGAAGUUUUCUACUAAAAAUAAUUAAAUAAAAUUUAAAAUUUAAAUAA